AUACCACCACCUCCGUCCCAAAAUUCUUGUCUUAGAUUUGAUUAGAUAAGAAUGUAUAUCUAGUCACGUUUUAGUAUUUAGAUACAUCCAUGUCUAGACAAACCUAAGACAAGAAUUUUAAUACGGAGGUAGUACACA
rfam:Hordeum vulgare subsp. vulgare, WGS project CAJW01000000 data, contig: morex_contig_60268